UACGUAGGGUGCAAGCGUUGUCCGGAAUUAUUGGGCGUAAAGAGCUCGUAGGCGGCUCGUCGCGUCGGCUGUGAAAACCUGGGGCUCAACCCCGGGCCUGCAGCCGAUACGGGCGAGCUAGAAGUCGGUAGGGGAGACUGGAAUUCCUGGUGUAGCGGUGAAAUGCGCAGAUAUCAGGAGGAACACCGGUGGCGAAGGCGGGUCUCUGGGCCGAUAUUGACGCUGAGGAGCGAAAGCGUGGGGAGCGAACAGG
rnacentral:rRNA from 1 species